GAAUGAGUAUCUCUGGGGAAAAGCCAGCCUAGCAGUGAGCGCUUGACAGUUGUUGAACAACUGAGGAAACUGCUUUCGUUAAAACUCUAGGUGAGAGCGCGUGCAGGUAAAGUAGGAAGUGACCUUCAAGGCAAGGUGAAGAUCGACAGGUAAGAACGCAUCAGGAGGGAUUUCUCCCUGAAAUGCCUGGUUCCCAAGGGUUUCUGGCUCUCAGCUCUUGAUUCCUUGAUUCUCUGCUCUGCCACCUUCCAGCCAGGUCAUGUGGAGCAUCUGAGACUCAAAAGCUGGUUCAGCCCUCUUAACAGAACAUUCAAGAGCAUGGGAAUGCACAUGCAUAAUCAGACAUCCGAGCUUGGAAGACGGUCCACUCAAUGUUUUACACUGUGGCAGAGGCUCACACGGCAGAUGUCACCAGAACUCACCACCUCUUGUCCAGCACAGAGUAUUGGCAUCAAAGCAGUAGAGCAUGAUUUUCAAGAUGGGACAGGUCAGGCAAGCUUGUGGAGUGCCGGGGUCACUGGCAGUGACCAGUGUGAUAACUUUGGCUGAAUGUCCGAUGGAGACUAUUGGGUGAGUAGCUUAAAUAAUCUCCGACUUCACAAGCUGCCCAUUAUUAACUAAAACAAGCUUUUGUUCUCUUGGGCUCAGCUCAGAAGCUGCCCUGUCCAGCAAUCUUCAGCUGUGAG
rnacentral:lncRNA from 1 species